UACUUGCUCAGAGACUUCUUCAAGCUGGUCUGGUUGAAAUCUCCCGUAAUGAUAGGGAAGGCGACAGGAUGCGGAAUUUUGUUCCUGCUGAUUAUACUGUUCAGCUCCUCCAGAGCCUGCCUGACAGCGGCCCGAGGUGGAAAGUACACUGCUACCAGGAUGAUGGCAGAAAACUCCCUUAGCAGAUAAAAUAGACGUGAUUUGACCAGUAGACGUUCCAGGUCAGCCACAGGGAGCCACAGCACAGAGAUGAAAGAGCCACAUGCGGCUGUGGAGCAGCGGGUUGCUGACCCCUGACCUAGACUGAGGAAUUGCGAUUUAUCCAGACCCAGAGUGAUUUACCGAGUCAGAAUUCAGAGCUUCUCCAGAAACAGCAGCAAUCAAGUCCCCCUAUUUCUACACUAUUCAUGGUUGGUGCAGCUGUAACGAAACCCAAUUUCCCUCGGGAUCAAUAAGACAAAUUGAGGAAGUGCUUUUGGGCCCCUUCGUGACUCGUUGCUCAGCACAUCAAUAAUUACUACAUUGAAGGAGAGAUUCAUGUCUGAUCACCAAUGCGUGAAAGAAAUGGAACAGAGUGCACAGGAGGUGGAAACAAGUGGUGCCCCAUGCUCUUGCGCCUAUUAAAUGCCAAUGUCCAAGACAUACUUUCAUCCCACAUCACAGUUCCAUUGAGAUCUGUCAGACAGCUCCUCUGGUUUAGGAGAUGAGAUUUUGAGGGGCUAAAUCUAUGUCAGGAGAUUACAGAGACUAAUCUAUUCUUCUGUGGAACUUCUUGGCCCCCAAAGUGUUUUCUGUGAGAUUACUGUUUGUGCACAUGGUCCAAGAUUACUCAGGCUCACCAUAAAUCAUUCAUGCUUAAAUAUAACUUCUGGUAACCUUGAUCCAAACUGCAGGGGAGUAAUCUCUUUACACAGAAAGUUAUUAUGGUCUGGAACUCUCCUAGGUAUAAUAGUGGAGGCAGAUUCAAGUGUAACCAUCAAAGAGGAGCUGAAUAUAUGCUGGAAAGAAGGGUAAAAAUGGAGACCAGGAAAGUGGGACCAGCUGGGUUGCUCUUAUGUAGAGCCAAUAUAGACCAAAUAACCUUCCUCCAUGUUGCCACCAUUUUCUGUGGUGCCCACACAGUUCUGCCCUAUGAGCAUAUUUUUUGCAUUGAAGAAUUUCUAGUUUUUGAAGGGCUGUAGAACAAAUGGAAUAUAUGUCACAUAUAAAGAAAUAAAAUAUGUCAUAUUUUGGGUAUAGUCAGGCAUUAUUUUGUUAAGUUUGUUGUUUAUUUAGUUUCAGAGGCUUCAUGUAUAAGAUGAUGAGGGGCAUUGAUCGUGUAGAUAGCCGGAGGCUGUUUCCCAGGGCUGAAAUGGCUAACACAAGGGGGUAUAGUUUUAAGGUGCUUGGAAGUAGAUACUGAGGGGACAUCAGGGGUAAGUUUUUUCACACAGAGAGUGGUGGCUGCAUGAAAUGCACGGCUGGUGUUGGUGGUGGAAGUAGAUACAACAGGGUCUUUUAAGAGCCCCUUAGAUAGGUCCACGGAGCUUAAAAAAAUAGAGAGCAAUGCCCUUACUAAUCAGGAAUCAAUCUGUCUCCACUUUAAAUAUACCCAAAGACUUGGUUUUUACAGCUAUCUGUAGUGAUGAAUUUCACAGCUUCACCACCCCCCAAUGAAGAAAUUACUCCUCAUUGCUGUUUUAAAGGAAUGUCUUUCUAUUCUGAGGCUGUGUCCCCUGGUCCUCAACUCUUCCACUAAUGGAAAGAUCCUCUCCACAUUCACCCUAUCUAAUCCUUUCAAUAUUCUGUACGGUCCAAUGAGAUCUGUCACAAAUGGAAUGGCCAUCCAGCUUCCUUCUUUGUCGGGAGAUGUCUGUUUCCUGUUUAGCUUGAGGUCACCGAAAGGUGUAAUUCCUUACAGAAGAAUUCCACUGUAAAUGUAUUGUGUCAAUUGACUUCCUCUGCCGUUCACCACUAGAUGAAGAAUCACAUUUCCCUGGUAGGAGACCGAGAUCUUUGGCUUUUACUUGGCACUGUGCUGUCUCAACCAAGUGCUGGCGUGUCUGAUAUAUAGCUUAAUAAAACCUCUGCAAUCUUUCAAGGUCCCAACUUGCUAAUUUGCCACAUUUUAGCUGUUUAAUGAAUGCCUUUGCCUCAGGUGCUGUAGUUGUCCUAGGGCUGCUGGGCAUGUCAUCAGUCACCAGUUGAGGGUGGGGAAUAGAAUAUCCAUUCUUGACCUUCACAAUGAAAUACAUUAAGCAAUCACCAUUUUACCUUAUUCCGGCUGUGAUAAACCUUUCCUACACAGGUUAAUCUUCGUACAUCAGAAUUUGUGGGGCUAACUUAUUACAUGUUUUUGCCAAUCAGUUGUGUAAUUCGAACAUACCAAAUCUUGUGUAACUCCGAGAUUUAUAUUGUUAAUUAGGCUCAAAUGUAGAAUACAUACCUCCUACAAAUGCUAAUAAAUUUAAAUAGUACCACAUUUUAUAAAGAAAUGCACAACCUGAAGAAAGAGGUCCCUCUGAGGCCCAUUAUUCUAUAUUGUUUCUGUUUUAUAGAUUUUAGGAUCAAAAUUGAUGUUAUUGUUUAUUGCUUCAAUAAUUCAAAUUUCGUGGAUGUGAGUUGAAAGAGCCCAGCUGGCUUUGAUAAUGUCCUGGUAUUUCUUUCCAGUAUAGAUUAAUCCAGAACGGAUGUUUCUAAUCUCCUUCUCCCCACCAACAUCUUCACCCCUCAGUGUCUUACCUCAUCACCACAUGAACUUAUCCAGGGCAUGUCCUCUUCUUGUUACUAUCUUUAUGACAAGGUACAGGAGCCAGAAAACACACACUCAAUGAUUUAGAAAUAGCUGCUUUUCCUCUGCUAUCAGAUCAGAAGUGGCAGUCAUUCUUUGAUUCUGUUAUAGUAAUUAUUCAGUUGACUUGUUAAGUAUGCCCACAAGAAUAUGAACCUCAGAUUGUAUAUAGUGACAUAUAUGUACUUCGAUAAUAAA